rnacentral:rRNA from 1 species
UACGUAGGGUGCAAGCGUUGUCCGGAAUUAUUGGGCGUAAAGAGCUCGUAGGCGGUUCGUCGCGUCGGCUGUGAAAUCCCGGAGCUCAACUCCGGGUCUGCAGUCGAUACGGGCGGACUCGAGUUCGGCAGGGGAGACUGGAAUUCCUGGUGUAGCGGUGAAAUGCGCAGAUAUCAGGAGGAACACCGGUGGCGAAGGCGGGUCUCUGGGCCGAUACUGACGCUGAGGAGCGAAAGCGUGGGGAGCAAACAGG